rnacentral:rRNA from 1 species
AAACCAACAGGGAUUGCCUCAGUAACGGCGAGUGAAGCGGCAAAAGCUCAAAUUUGAAAUCUGGUACCUUCGGUGCCCGAGUUGUAAUUUGAAGAUAGUUUUCUGGUGCUGGCCCUUGUCUAUGUUCCUUGGAACAGGACGUCACAGAGGGUGAGAAUCCCGUCUGGCGGGGUGUCCAGUGCUUUGUAGAUUUCUAUCGACGAGUCGAGUUGUUUGGGAAUGCAGCUCUAAGUGGGUGGUAAAUUCCAUCUAAAGCUAAAUAUUGGCGAGAGACCGAUAGCGAACAAGUACAGUGAUGGAAAGAUGAAAAGAACUUUGAAAAGAGAGUGAAAAAGUACGUGAAAUUGUUGAAAGGGAAGGGUAUUAGAUCAGACUUGGUGUUUUGUGAUUAUCUUCCCUUCUUGGGUUGUGCACUCGCAUUUCACUGGGCCAGCAUCGGUUCGGGUGGUAAGAUAAUGACAUUGGAACGUGGCACUGCCUUCGGGUGGUGUGUUAUAGCCCUUGUUGAUGUUGCCUACCUGGACCGAGGA